rnacentral:misc_RNA from 1 species
AACGCACAUUGCGCCCCGUGGUAUUCCGCGGGGCAUGCCUGUUCGAGCGUCAGUACAACACUCAAGCUCUGCUUGGUAUUGGGCCGCACCAGCAAUGGUGAGCCUUAAAAUCAGUGGCGGCGCCAUCUGGCUCUAAGCGUAGUAAUACUCCUCGCUAUAGGGUCCCGGUGGAUGCUUGCCAGCAACCCCAACUUUCUAAGUUUGACCUCGGAUCAGGUAGGGAUACCCGCUGAACUUAA